AUUACCAGCAAUGCUACUAGUGACUUAAAUAUAAAAGUUGACGGGCGUGCUAUCGUGCGUGGAAAUGAAGGUGUAUUCAUUAUGGGGAAAACCAUUGAAUUUCACAUGGGUGGUAAUAUGGAGUUAAAGGCAGCAUUAUGAAAAACCUACAUUUCAGAGUCCUAACAAUGCUAAUAGGUCUUUAUUUUACUGGAACAAUGACAAACCCAUCCAGAAAAAGCAGUCUUUUAUUCAGUUCGGAGUGCCAAUGGAAUGGGUAUCUUCUGACAAAUUGUUCCUUUACCGGAAAGCAUGAUAUCCAUGUGGACAAACCCCAGCCAGCAGCCACAGUGGACACAAGGGCCAGUUUCCUUAGGGCUCUCUUACGGUCACACAUGAGAAAAGAAGACUGGAAUACAAAACAUCUGGACCUCAGUAACAAUCGCAAUCCGAACAUCACCUUAAGCCCUCUUGCACACUUCCACGCUUUGGAAGUACUAAACCUCAGCAACAGUUCCCUCCUCUCCAUCGCGUUGGAUCUACGCAGUGCUAAGUCCUCGUGGGGGAAACGCCACAGAAGCAGCUGGAGGCACGGGCUUCCGUUUCUAAAGUUGUUAAUUCUUCAAAGAAACAAACUCGCCAACAUUCCCAAGGGACUGUGGAAACUGAAGUCAUUACAGAGUCUGGAUCUGUCCUUCAACGGGAUAGCGCAGAUCGGUUUGUCUGACCUUCGGCACUGCCUGCGGCUGGAAAACCUCUACUUAAAGAGCAACAAGAUAUUCAGGAUUCAUCCAGAAGUCUUCAAGGACCUCAAGAAGUUACAGGUGGUAGACCUCAGCAACAAUGUUCUGACCACCAUCCUACCCAUGAUGGUCAUUGCUCUGGAACUUCCCCAUCUGGAGGUGGACUUGGCUGAUAACCAACGGGAGUGUGACUAUAGUGUGGCAGCCUUCCAAAAGGUCCUUUCUGAAUCCUGGAGGAAAACAUGGAAUGUCAUCUGCAGUAAGUCUGUAGGGAACGAGGAGGCAGACCAGUGGACCCUCCAAAGUGGAAUUUCCAGGGAGACCCACCUUCCUCAUGGUCCUGCGAAGCCUGUGAAAAGCCUCCGGCCAGGCCAAUCCAAGAGGCCCCAGGCAGGCUGGUUUGAGCGCCCUGGCACCGCAUGGAGGAAGGGCCCCGCGGGCGCCCCGGCCAGCGAGAGGCUGCGCCGGCUGCCCAGAGGGGCCAGGAGCCCCAGGGAUGUGCCCACGGCUGGCAGACAGGGAGACACUUCCCAGGACCUCGCCCUGGCCGUCUGCCUGGCCGUGUUCAUCACGUUCUUCGUGGCUUUCUGCCUGGGGGCUUUCGCCAGGCCUUUCAUUGACAGACUGUGGCACCAGAGAUGCGCACGCAAAAGGCCCAGCUCCGACAAUGGGGACAACGCGGAUAACGCAUACUCAAACAAGGGCUUCUGUGACGACACUGAAGCUGCAGGGAACGCCCAGCACCUGAGGACAGAUCGGCCUCUCCAAGAGCCUGCCAGCCCCCGCGCUGCUGUCAUCCCCAACGGACCUCUAGGAGAAUGCGGAAGGGAGCCUGGCAGGUGGCAGAGCAGGGGGCCGUGUGGGGACAGCAGAGGGCCAGGAGGUGGGAAGGAGUACAUACCUCUGAGUGACAGCGCAGCCCAUUCCAUUCUCCAAGGACAGCCGAAUGCUGGUCAUAACCAACGAAUUCCAGCAGGGCAGGAUCACAUCCACAGGAAAGAUGCUCUCGGGGAAGUAAAUUAUGCAACUCUGGCCCAGGAAGGUUCUCCCAGCGUGCAUUCAGCGGGCGCCCCUGUGCGAGCUGGCAGAUUGCAGAUUGUCUCUGGCUCAAUUCACAGUGACUCGGGUGAGUUAAAUGCACCCCUCUCGGGAGAAAUGGCAGCUUCUCUCUCUCAAAUGCAAACGCAUACGAAAGCACAGGGGGCUGGAGAGAAUGAGCGGUUACCUUCGGAGUUUUCCAAGGAAAUGCAAGUGGGCACUUACCUGAAUUUGCAGGACACACAGCAGCAAAGCCUCCAGGGGGCCAGUGCUGAGGAAGGGCUGCCCGCCUCCCACGGUGCGGUCCCACUCAGUGACGUGGAACCAGGGCAGAAACAUGCUCCUCCUGACCCUCAGUACCCAUUGGACAGCAGCUACGAUUCUGAUUCUGAUGAAGGGUCUUUAUUUACUCUAAGUUCAACAAGUUCAGAGGAUGCAAGAAAUGUGACUGAAGAAGAGGCACAUGGUGAGAAGAGCCACAAAGCCAGUGAGCCCCCGGAGGAUGAGAACUCGGGGGUGAGGAAGGACAAUGUUACAUCAUCAGAGGAUCCUAAGGACAAUAUCCCCUGCCAGAAGAUUCUGGAGAAGUGUGAGAAUCAGGAGGACUGUUUUAAAAACCCUCUCAUUUCUGGUCCAGACUCAGGUUUGUGUGAGACUCAUCUGGAAGGUGCCUCUAACACCAACACAUUUGAGGGUCCACUGACCGUGCCUGGAUCACUGGGCAGUAACAGUCCCUCCGGGGAUGAGACCCCAGGCAUGGUCAUCUGCGAUUAUGCCGCAGCUCUCCAAUCUGAGGCCGUAGAGUGGCAUUACUCACUUAGAGACUUAGAAUUUUUAAAUGUAGAUGUUGUACCACAAACACCACCAUGGUCUGCUGAAGUUCCCUCAGAUCCUGACCAGAGCGACUCUCGUGAAAGAGACUCAGACAUUUAUAAAUAUGAACCUUGCCUUCAGGAAAUGAACACAGCUCAAAAUGAUGUUCCUCUCAAGAUCACUGCCGGUGAAAACUUAGGAGCCUCACAACAAAAUUCGGAAGGGGGCAACAUGAAUCCCCACCUGACGGACACUGAUGCAAAUGAGGGGUUGGCAUGCACUCUUGAGGACUCGGAUUCCAGAAAGGUUAGAAGCCGCACACAAUUGUUACAAUCCUGUAGUGAUGAACCGGCUCUUCAGUGUGAAAGAGGAGAGCGGGGUUAUGCUGAAAGCCAUUCCAGGAGCCAGGUGCCAUUAUUACAAGAGCUCCCAAGUGAAACCAGUUUACCAGGAACGCAGGAGCCCUUCAGUGGCAGAGAUUGGGGUAAAUACUCAGAAGAGAACCUGUUGCAGUUAGAAAAUAUUCAAAUGCAGACCCAGGGCCACCUAAUGGGGGCUGGCUUGCUGUAUGAGGACCUACUCUACUACGAUGUGGAACUUGAAAAUCAAAGGGAAUUCAAGUAACAUUUUGAGUUCAGAUUGAAGCCCUUAGAACCGCUGAACGGAUUUUUUUUAAACAAAUUCCACACAAAGAACAGCACAGCUUUCUGGACGGUGAUCGUGAAACUACAAAGUUAGGGGGAUUCAGAGCAACUCUAAAUAUUUGUUCGCUUCUGGUAAUGCAGCAUAAACACCACAGGCAUUGCAGAAUUUCUAAAGCCUCAUCGCUUUCUGGCAAUAAAAGUUCCACACCAGGCUAGAACAUUACCCCAAGAAUGGAAUCAGCUUCUCUCCAAAGAUUCCUGCUUUCUCUUAGCAGAGAAUAAAGAGUUCCGGUUUUUCUGCCAUAAUAUGAAAUUUGCAUUUCUGAAAAAUCUCCCAUUCUGUAAAGUCACACAUUAAAAGCCAUGGGACUUUGGGACAAACAAAGUCGGGGAGACCACUCAAACGUUAAGUGACCUUGGAACCAGAGCACUAAGGAAAACAGUCAAUGGAAGACAGUCACCUUGGAUGUCGCAGGCAGGUCUCUCGUGAUUUUUGUCUGUGAGCUCCCUUGGGGGUCUCACACAGGUGCAGGCCUCCUACACGGGGUGGUGACCAAAGGGCCUCUGCCCAGGCUCCCUAGGAUUUGUUGAUUCCAGGCCAGCUUUCACAUUAGCUUCACCGAUUGUGGAAAGGAUGUGAGAUUGGAGGGCCGGAAGCGGGGCUCAAGAUAGAGACCAUUGAGGUGGCAUAAGUAACUGGCCUGGCUUUGGGGAAGCGUUCUUCCAAUCUGAAGCAGCUUCCAGCACUUGGAAGGUGUUCUGGAGUUGUUCCUGCUACAGCGGCCGUGACCCAGCGGCAGAGGCCCGGCUGCUCCGAGACCGGCCUCCCUGCCUCCUUCCAGCCCCACAUCGCGUCUGCACACGGAGGGCCUCGCUCCCCUCACACGGCAAGACAGCACGGCAGAAGAAGACCACUUAAAACAACAGAGAGAGGGAGAGAGAAAUGCUCCAUUCAACAUCUCCCUAGUUACCGAAGGGGACCACGGGCCUCCAGUGCUGGCUGCCCUCGCGAUUUUAAUUAGCGCUGCCCGAGUCAGGAAAUACCAAUACAGAAUGCCCGGUUGAGUUUGUCUUUUGGGUAAACAACAAAUACUUUACUAUUUAAGUAUGCCCCAUGCAAUACUUGGGACCUAUUUCUACUAAGAUAUUAUUGUUUACCUGAAAUUCCGAUUCAACUGGGUGACCUGGAGUUUACCUAGCCUCCCUAUUUUAAUAUUCAAAGAAAAUGAUCUGAAAAUGCUCCCAGGCAAGAUAGGGUCUGCAGUUCCGGCAAGGGGGGGGGCGGGGGGAGCAGAUGUUGCUGAGAUCCCCCGGCUGCAGCAGAGCACUGAGUAGGUUAGGCAUUAAGCCCUGCCACCCGGGCCUACGACGUACGGAAGUGCUUCCUUCGAAGCCUCGGCGAUGACUGACAGUAAAAAUGGAAAUUCCCUCACAUGCAGAUCCAGGGGGCACAAAAAACGAGAACAUCAAGUCCUGCCUGCAGUUACCGAGGGGAGGCGGGAAAAGCAAGCAACAAGAAACCCACAAAAUAAACGGUGACAGAACCAAAUAACUGCGAAAGUGUUUCUUUGCACAGAAGCAAAGAGUUACUCGUAACAGGGAGAGUGGGUUCUGUAAAAGCUUGCCAUUUCCGAAAGGACAGCCUCCCGGGAUCCUUGCAUUCGGCAGGGUCCGCCACGAGCGGUCACGCCACGCACACACUCCUGUCCGCCCACUCCCGGCCGCGUGGCGUCGGACGCCGCAGCUUUCCCUCUGGCCCACGCGGCAGGCUGCGGCCGACGACCUGCAGCUGAGUCCGCGCCACACUUACAAUACAUUCCGGUCGUGCUCCUUGGACUCGCUAACUGGACGCGCCCAUGCGCAGAAGCAGGCUUGUCUUAACCGGGACCCUCGAAGGAACGGCUCUGACGCGCAGAAUGCUGUCCAG